rnacentral:rRNA from 1 species
AACGAGUUAGGGUCUCUCUGGCCCGACCUCCCAACCCUUUGUCUACUUGACCAUCGUUGCUUCGGCGAGCCCGUCCUCACGGACCGCCGGAGGGAUCUUUACUGGCCCUCUGGUCCGCGCUCGUCGGUAGCCCAACCUUUAAAAUCUUUAACUAAACGUGCCUUAAUCUAAGUACAAUUAUUAAAUAAAAGCAAAACUUUCAACAACGGAUCUCUUGGUUCUGGCAUCGAUGAAGAACGCAGCGAAAUGCGAUAAGUAAUGCGAAUUGCAGAAUUCCAGUGAGUCAUCGAAUCUUUGAACGCACAUUGCGCCCUUUGGUAUUCCGAAGGGCAUGCCUGUUCGAGCGUCAUUAUCACCCCUCAAGCCCUCGGCUUGGUGUUGGACGGUUUGGUGGAGGCCCCCUCGGGGGCUCCUGCCCCUCCCAAAGACAAUGACGGCGGCCUCGUUGGACCCCCGGUACACUGAGUUCUUCACGGGACACGUAUCGGACACAUGGGUUUACGGGACACGGUCUGCCUCCCCUCAGGGAGA